CUCAGUUCGGAUUGGAGUCUGCAACCCGACUCCAUGAAGCUGGAUUCGCUAGUAAUCGCGCAUCAGCCACGGCGCGGUGAAUACGUUCCCGGGCCUUGUACACACCGCCCGUCAAGCCAUGGGAGGCCGGGGGUGCCUGAAGGCCGUGACCGCGAGGAGCGGCCUAGGGUAAAACUGGUGACUGGGGCUAAGUCGUAACAAGGUACC
rnacentral:rRNA from 1 species